rnacentral:rRNA from 1 species
AGUGAACGCUGGCGGUAGGCCUAACACAUGCAAGUCGAACGGCAGCACAGUAAGAGCUUGCUCUUACGGGUGGCGAGUGGCGGACGGGUGAGGAAUAAAUCGGAAUCUACUUUUUCGUGGGGGAUAACGUAGGGAAACUUACGCUAAUACCGCAUACGGCCUACGGGUGAAAGCAGGGGAUCUUCGGACCUUGCGCGAUUGAAUGAGCCGAUGUCGGAUUAGAUAGUUGGCGGGGUAAAGGCCCACCAAGGCGACGAUCCGUAGCUGGUCUGAGAGGAUGGUCAGCCACACUGGAACUAAGACACGGUCCAGACUCCUACGGGAGGCAGCAGUGGGGAAUAUUGGACAAUGGGCGCAAGCCUGAUCCAGCCAUACCGCGUAGGUGAAGAAGGCCUUCGGGUUGUAAAGCCCUUUUGUUGGGAAAGAAAAGCAGCAGGUUAAUACCCCGCUGUUCUGACGGUACCCAAAGAAUAAGCACCGGCUAACUUCGUG